rnacentral:rRNA from 1 species
UACGAAGGGGGCUAGCGUUGCUCGGAAUUACUGGGCGUAAAGGGAGCGUAGGCGGAUAGUUAAGUUGGGGGUGAAAGCCCGGGGCUCAACCUCGGAAUUGCCUUCAAUACUGGCUAUCUAGAGUAUGGGAGAGGUGUGUGGAACUCCGAGUGUAGAGGUGAAAUUCGUAGAUAUUCGGAAGAAACACCCAGUGGCGAAGGCGACACACUGG